UGGGGAAUUUUGGACAAUGGGGGCAACCCUGAUCCAGCAAUGCCGCGUGUGUGAAGAAGGCCUUCGGGUUGUAAAGCACUUUUGUCCGGGAAGAAAUCCCCUGCCCUAAUACGGCGGGGGGAUGACGGUACCGGAAGAAUAAGCACCGGCUAACUACGUGCCAGCAGCCGCGGUAAUACGUAGGGUGCGAGCGUUAAUCGGAAUUACUGGGCGUAAAGCGUGCGCAGGCGGUGAUGUAAGACCGAUGUGAAAUCCCCGGGCUCAACCUGGGAACUGCAUUGGUGACUGCAUUGCUCGAGUAUGGCAGAGGGGGGUGGAAUUCCACGUGUAGCAGUGAAAUGCGUAGAGAUGUGGAGGAACACCGAUGGCGAAGGCAGCCCCCUGGGCCAAUACUGACGCUCAUGCACGAAAGCGUGGGGAGCAAACAGGAUUAGAUACCCUGGUAGUCCACGCCCUAAACGAUGUCAACUGGUUGUCGGGCCUUCAUUGGCCUGGUAACGUAGCUAACGCGUGAAGUUGACCGCCUGGGGAGUACGGUCGCAAGAUUAAAACUCAAAUGAAUUGACGGGGUCAUAGCUGUUUCCU
rnacentral:rRNA from 1 species